rnacentral:lncRNA from 1 species
GGUACAGGGCGUGCCGAGAAAAGAAGAGUUGUUUACCUAGUACUUUCCAGAGAUACACCGUGAUCUACGGGUAUGGAGUGUAUGUCGAGAAAAGAUAGGUAUUUUUUUUUUAAGAUUAAUCACAUCUAUUUAAUUAAAAAAAAAGAGAUACAACUCUACUAGUGCAAAAUUAAUUUAAAACUCCCGAGCUCUUUAUUUUCUAAUUACAUCAAUUUUAAGAUAAUUUAUUUUAUAAAUCAAAAUAA